CCUACGGGUGGCUGCAGUGGGGAAUCUUGCGCAAUGGCCGAAAGGCUGACGCAGCGACGCCGCGUGUGGGAGGAAGCUCUUCGGGGUGUAAACCACUGUUGCCCGGGACGAACGGCAUCUUUCGAGAUGCGUGACGGUACCGGGUGAGGAAGCACCGGCUAACUCUGUGCCAGCAGCCGCGGUAAUACAGAGGGUGCGAGCGUUGUCCGGAAUCACUGGGCGUAAAGGGCGCGUAGGCGGCCCGGUAAGCGUGUGGUGAAAGCCCGGGGCUCAAC
rnacentral:rRNA from 1 species